CAGCUGGGGACGCGGGGGAAACGGACGCCAGCUCCAGAUCCUUCAGCGGGAAGGCGGAAUGGGCGAAGGCGACUCGGGUCCAAACGCGUGUUUAGCUCCUCAGACUCCCCCCUCCCAGCCUUCCAGGUGGUCCCGAGGCAGGAGGAAACUACCUUGUGCUCUUGGAAAGUCAUAAAAAGAGGCGGCCGGGGAAUGGGUGGAUUUAUAACGCAGGCCUGGAAUCCUGCUUUUGCAAGAAUGCAAGGCACCGUUGCCUUUUAUAUAUUAAAGCCGUUGAAACGAAAGGAGUAAGAGGAGAGCGCGUUCAUCCCUGAAACCUUUUAUAUCCAGUUAUAGCAGCGGUUUGAGCUUUCAUGGAGUAACAGAAUCUGCAUCCUCGGUAGAUUCCCACUCCUUUUCUUAUUUUUGAGGCUUUUCUUAAUUCCCUUGUCGCCCAUACAGGCUUUCACACAGAAAGUAGUCUGUACAACUCAUUCCACAAAGAAAUGGCCAGCAGAUCAAAAAACACUGCUUUAUCAUCUGCCCUCCCACUCUUACCAAGACUGGUAAGAAACUUAAAAAUAUUUUUUAGUUUUCAAACUUCAAAACCUGAAGCUCUAGAAGGAUGGAAAAAAGAAGCAAG